AGUGAACGCUGGCGGUAGGCCUAACACAUGCAAGUCGAACGGCAGCACAGUAAGAGCUUGCUCUUACGGGUGGCGAGUGGCGGACGGGUGAGGAAUACAUCGGAAUCUACUUUUUCGUGGGGGAUAACGUAGGGAAACUUACGCUAAUACCGCAUACGACCUACGGGUGAAAGCAGGGGAUCUUCGGACCUUGCGCGAUUGAAUGGGCCGAUGUCGGAUUAGCUAGUUGGCGGGGUAAAGGCCCACCAAGGCGACGAUCCGUAGCUGGUCUGAGAGGAUGAUCAGCCACACUGGAACUGAGACACGGUCCAGACUCCUACGGGAGGCAGCAGUGGGGAAUAUUGGACAAUGGGCGCAAGCCUGAUCCAGCAAUACCGCGUGGGUGAAGAAGGCCUUCGGGUUGUAAAGCCCUUUUGUUGGGAAAGAAAAGCAGCAGGUUAAUACCCCGCUGUUCUGACGGUACCCAAAGAAUAAGCACCGGCUAACUUCGUG
rnacentral:rRNA from 1 species